GAUGAACGCUAGCGGCAGGCCUAAUACAUGCGAGUCGAGGGGUAGAGAAGAGCUUGCUUUUCUUGAGACCGGCGCACGGGUGCGUAACGCGUAUGCAACCUACCUUUAUCAGGGGGAUAGCCUCUCGAAAGAGAGAUUAACACCGCAUAAAAACACAGUACGGCAUCGUACAAUGUUCAAAUAUUUAUAGGAUAAAGAUGGGCAUGCGUGACAUUAGCUAGUUGGUGAGGUAAGGGCUCACCAAGGCGACGAUGUCUAGGGGAUCUGAGAGGAUGACCCCCCACACUGGUACUGAGACACGGACCAGACUCCUACGGGAGGCAGCAGUAAGGAAUAUUGGUCAAUGGGGGCAAACCUGAACCAGCCAUGCCGCGUGCAGGAAGACGGCCCUACGGGUUGUAAACUGCUUUUAUACGGGAAUAAACCCCUUUACGUGUAAAGGGUUGAAUGUACUGUAAGAAUAAGGAUCGGCUAACUCCGUGCCAGCCGCCGCGGUAAGAC
rnacentral:rRNA from 1 species